rnacentral:rRNA from 1 species
CAGUCGCCGCGGUAAUACGUAGGUGGCAAGCGUUGUCCGGAAUUAUUGGGCGUAAAUGGCUCGCAGGCGGUUUCUUAAGUCUGAUGUGAAAGCCCCCGGCUCAACCGGGGAGGGUCAUUGGAAACUGGGAAACUUGAGUGCAGAAGAGGAGAGUGGAAUUCCACGUGUAGCGGUGAAAUGCGUAGAGAUGUGGAGGAACACCAGUGGCGAAGGCGACUCUCUGGUCUGUAACUGACGCUGAGGAGCGAAAGCGUGGGGAGCGAACAGGAUUAGAUACCCGGGUAGUCCCUGUCUCUUAUAC